GUGAUAUACAGUAUAUAAGCAAUCAAGGCCAAGCACUUUUAAUUUUAACACACACCAUGAUCUCUACAUCCCUACUGCUGCUGCUGCUGGCAGCCACCGACUUUGUUUACAGUGUUGAGCUGAUCCAGACUAGCUCCAUGAUAGUAACCCCUGGUCAGUCACUGACUCUGACCUGUAAAGUGUCUGGAUAUUCAUUGACUGAUAGCAACUACUGUACACAGUGGAUACGACAACCUACAGGAAAAACUCUGGAGUGGAUCGGAUGGAUAUGUAGUGAUGGUGGCACUGGCUACAGUGAAAAACUGAAAAGCAGGGUCCAGAUUUCCAGAGACACGUCCAGCAGCACAGUAACAUUAACAGGACAGAAUAUGCAGACUGAAGACACAGCUGUGUAUUACUGCGCUCGCUAUCCACAGUGA